GACGAACGCUGGCGGCGUGCUUAACACAUGCAAGUCGAGCGGUAAGGCUCCUUCGGGAGUACACGAGCGGCGAACGGGUGAGUAACACGUGAGCAAUCUGCCCAUCACAUCGGGAUAACUUCGGGAAACCGAAGCUAAUACCGAAUACAACCACUUCAGGCAUCUGACGGUGGUGGAAAGUUCCGGCGGUGAUGGAUGAGCUCGCGGCCUAUCAGCUUGUUGGUGGGGUAAUGGCCCACCAAGGCUUCGACGGGUAGCCGGCCUGAGAGGGUGACCGGCCACACUGGGACUGAGACACGGCCCAGACUCCUACGGGAGGCAGCAGUGGGGAAUAUUGGACAAUGGGCGAAAGCCUGAUCCAGCAACGCCGCGUGAGGGAUGACGGCCUUCGGGUUGUAAACCUCUUUCAGCGCCGACGAAGUGAAAGUGACGGUAGGCGCAGAAGAAGCACCGGCCAACUACGUGCCAGCAGCCGCCGUAACAC
rnacentral:rRNA from 1 species